rnacentral:rRNA from 1 species
AUACGGAGGGUGCAAGCGUUAUCCGGAUUCACUGGGUUUAAAGGGUGCGUAGGUGGGUUGGUAAGUCAGUGGUGAAAUCUCCGAGCUUAACUUGGAAACUGCCAUUGAUACUAUCAGUCUUGAAUACCGUGGAGGUCAGCGGAAUAUGUCAUGUAGCGGUGAAAUGCUUAGAUAUGACAUAGAACACCAAUUGCGAAGGCAGCUGGCUACACGAAUAUUGACACUGAGGCACGAAAGCGUGGGGAUCAAACAGGAUUAGAUACCCUGGUAGUCCACGCCCUAAACUAUGGAUACUCGACAUACGCGAUACACUGUGUGUGUCUGAGCGAAAGCAUUAAGUAUCCCACCUGGGAAGUACGAUCGCAAGAUUGAA